GGGAAUAUAAUUUAAUUCGGAUAAAAUAUUAGUUUUGCGUUCUAAUUUUAUUGGUUCAAGUCCAAUUAUUUCCA
rnacentral:tRNA from 1 species